UCUGUACAUGAAAUAGGUGAAAAUCCAGAAAGUUGCGUACUCCCACACCCACCAAAGCCAAAUUUGAACGAACGGACAAUCCAACUCAAAUUCUCAAAAUCUGCCUUUGCAAAAGAGAGUUCUUCCACCGACCAACAUGGAAUUACCAAGUGGCGAUUCGGUGUCGCCUGAGUAUUAAAGUAGCAAAACUGUGCAAACGAAUAGCACGCAAAUACUCUUAAUAUUACCCAUUCCCACUCUGCAUCUUCUCAACACCGAACUUCAAACAUUUAUCAAGGAAGAAGCCUUUUCUCGGUUUCUCUUAGACCCUCUGGCGCUUGCUGUAGCAGAAAUCUUGAUUUUGAUACCCUUCACUUUCGACAAGUGGUAGAUGCGAAGGGGAAAUUGGUAAGGUGAGAUGAACUCAGCGUUUAGUGAACAGAUACUUGCAGACAAGCUCUCAAAGCUUAACAGCACUCAGCAGUGCAUUGAAACAUUGUCGCACUGGUGCAUUUUUCAUCAAAGUAAUUCAGAGAAGGUUGUUGCAACAUGGGACAAACAAUUCCAUAGUUCAGAGAUGGCUAAGAAAGUACCUCUUUUGUACCUUGCAAAUGAUAUUCUGCAGAACAGCAAGCGCAAUGGAAAUGAUUUCGUCAUUGAGUUUUGGAAGGUUCUUCCUGCAGCACUCAAGGAAGUUGUGAAGAAAGGCAAUGAUCGUGAGAAGAAUGUGGUAUCCAGAUUGGUUAAGAUUUGGGAAGAAAGGAGAGUUUUUGGAUCUCUCAAUCAAAGCCUUGAAGAUGUUAUGCUUGGAGAAGAAAUGCCUCCACCUUUAGAGUUUGGGAAAAAACGUUCCCGUUCUGUCAGAAUAGUUAAAAAUGACUCACGAUCUAUAAAAAGGAAAUUGACUGUUGGAGGAACAGCAGAAAAAAUACUUUCAGCUUUCCACUUGGUGCGCAGUGAACAUACUACUGAAGAUGAAGAAAUGAAUAAAUGCAAGUCUGCAGUUAAUCGUGUGAAGAAACUUGAAAAGGACGUCCGCAUGGUCUUAAAAAAAGCUAAGGAUUCAUCAUGGAACACCUUAGCUAAAACAAUUGAAGACGAACAGAAUCUUUUGAAUGAGAGCAUUGAGAAACUUAAAGUUGUUGAAUCAAAUAGAUUUGCCCUUGUAUCUCAGUUACAAGAUGCGCUUCAUGAGCAGGAAUCUGAACUGGAGAAUGUUCGGACACAGAUGCAGGUAGCACAGGCACAGGCGGACGAAGGUACAAAACUGCUGAAAUAUUUGGAUGGAGAUGCAAAAUCAUCAACUGUAUCAUCGGAUUCCAAUACAAAACCAGCAGCACAAAUGAUGAGAAAAUCUGCUGCAUCUAUUGCUGCUGAGGUUGCAGAUAGGCUUGCAGCUUCAAGCUCCUCUCGGUAUAUUAUGACAUCUGUCCUCUCCACAUUUGCAGCCGAAGAAGCCAAAAAUGCUGGGCUGAUGAAUUCUUCAACAUCAUCUGCUUCUUUCUCAUCCAGGGUUAGUAGUCCAAUACUGAAACCUGAAACCCAUCUGCCUGUUACAGAUCCAAAUGUUUUCAUGCCAGCACUACAACUCAAUUAUCCCCAAAAUAACGCUUAUCAGUCCCUGAUGGUGACUCCGCCUACAAUACAAGAAAUAGAUCGCUGGCUUGAAGUUAAUAACCACAGAAAUAGCAAGAACAGAAUUUGGCUUGACAAAGGUUCUGUUUCUUGCGGGUUCAGACAUUGUGGGUGGUUUAAAUCGAUACAACCUUCCUUUUCCUGGAGGAUUUUAAGUCUGAUUCUAUCUCUAUGUUGGCUGCCUGCCUGCCUGCUUCGACAUUGCUGAACAAUGCGUCCCUGAGCUUGGGACUCGUGAUUGAUGGUCGAUAUAGCAUCUUCCACGUAAGGUGACAAAAAUUGCUGCUGUUGUCAGGGAAGGAGAUAAAUAUAAUCCAAAUAAGAUUGAUAUGAUUCUACCUUAGGCCUGGAUGAUGGAAAAGAUGGAGAGUGGUACAACGAGCCCAUGGAAAAACCCGGUGAACCAGUUAUUUAGAUUUAUUUUUGUGAACGUUUUCAAUGUUAUUUUUUUAAAGUAUUUGAAUAACGCUGAACGCGAGAACAAGUUGUGUUUUCUUCAAAUAAAUUACGUUCCGUUAUUUUUUUUAUUCAGUAUUUUAUUUAAAGUAUUCGAAAGGAGGUUGUUAAAAUUAAGUUUUCGCUAAAACAUAUUCUCCUAUGACUAAACCAUCGGUUAGUUAAGUAAAGUAAGUAGCGUUCCGGUCUACAAGGGGUUGGGGCAUUACAAUAUAUUUCAUAUCGUGUCAUAUAUAUUACUUUCAGCUGUUUUAUUUCCCAACAUAAUGUGCAUUUGGCUUUGUGCAUGAGCAAUUUGGUUGCCUUCCUUUGUCUGCCAUGUCUCACAUAUCACCUUCGAUCGCUUCAAUGGCUUCCUUAGACUUUUUGUUGAGCUCCAGCCAGGCGUCUCCCGAACACCCUCUAGCAUCAGGUUUCACUAUUUUUUGGAUUGCAACGCAUCUAUACUGAGCAUAAAAUCAAAUUAUCGAAGAUUGAUCUCAUACUUCUCCCUAUUUACUCAAAAACUCCUGGUGGACUUACAGGACCUAUCAUCGGGGAAGACGAUUGACAGUGUUAAAAAAAAAGUGACGGACUCUACUACUUUGACAAUGUUGAUGUUUUGUUAGAUCUCUCCGGUGAUUUCUCCUCGAUGUUACGUUCUUGGGCUGUCGACGAUCUUUAUUUUUUUGGGUGUUGGAGACAUUUUUCUCGGAGCCUCCAGUCUUGAGGCUCUCAGUGAAUUUUGUUUGGUUAUUGACGAAUUCUUGGGAUCUUCAGUGAAUUCCUUGGUGGGAUCGGAAGGGAUAUCGGAGAUAUGGUGACAAUAAUUUUGGUAGGUGUCGUGAGUAAUUGGUGUUUUGUUGGGCAGUUGGUUUGAUUGGACUUAUCCUCGAAUUGGAUGUUUUGUUGGGUUGUUGGUUUUGAUUGGGUUUUUUUUCUUGAAUUGGGCCUGUCAAUUAAUUGGCUAUUUAAUUAUUUGAUUGGGUUGUUAAUUUAUUUGUUCCGUUUGGCUGUGGGCUGUUAUUUAAUUGGAUUGAAAUUGGCUCAGUUUAGUUGGGCUGUUGGCUAUAAUUAUUAGAUUUUGAGCUAUCAUGUUUGGGAGAAAAUUCAAUUGUCUGCUUUAAUGGGCAAAACUACACUUGAGAAUUUUAGUUCAAGAUGCUUGUUAAGGGUAAGGAAUUGUGGGGUCAUAUGGAUGGAUCGUUUCAAGCUCCAAUAGAUUCCAGGGAGCUUAGUUCAUGGGAGAGUAAGGAUGCUCGAAUUGUUUCUUGGCUAUUGAGUUCCAUUGAACCAUAUAUGGUCAACAAUUUUCGUUCGCCCACGACCGCUAAAGAGAUGUGCGAUUCCCUUAGACGGAUUUUUGUAGUUGAAUAUUGGAAAUUAUUGACAAGGAGAUCUAUCAAUUGAACAGUUUCAUUUAGGUUUUCUUAAUUUAUGGAAUGAUUAUUUUGGGUUGGUGUGGUCCAAGGUUCCUAAAGAAGCAUUAGCAACUUUGCAAAAGAUUCAUUUUGAGAGCCAAAGGGAUCAAUCCUUGAUGAAGCUACGACCUGAGUUUGAAAGUGCACGCGCUGGACUGAUCAAUCGCAACAUUGUACCAUCCUUGGAUGUUUGCCUGGGAGAACUCCUAUGUGAGGAACAACGCCUCGCUUCUCAACUUGGGAUCAGUGAAGCCACCGUUGGUACUAAGAUGGUCAAUGUGGCCUAUGUAGCUCAAGGGAAAGGAAAAUCCAAAUAUUCGCUACAGUGUUACAGUUGCAAGGAAUUUGGACACAUUGCAAAAUAUUGUAAGAAGAAAAUCUUUAAUUAUUGCAAAAAGGAGGGCCAUAUUAUGAAGGACUAUCGUGUGUGACCUCGGAAUUGGUCUGCUCCCGCUUUCCAUACUACUGUUCAACCCAAUCGUGUGACUGCAUCUUCAGAUCAGUUGGGUGCCCAAGAUCUUCAACUCUCACACCCGAACAUGUUCAACAAAUGAUUAUUUCACUCUCUCGGCCCUUGGUCUCCAAAGUAAAAAAAUCUAGUCACCUCUCCUUGUUUAAUAAACUCUAUGGCUUCCAAACACGACUGGGAAUUCGGGAGCUCUACAUAAUGUUUGUAAGUAUGAUGGUGUUGUGUGUAGGAUCAAGCGUCGGGACAGGUGAUAGCGAAGGGGCCUAAAAUGGGACUUCUCUUUCCAAGAAUAGGAGAUUUCAUUGUAAUUUACCAUAAUUAGAUAGCUAUAAUUCUUCUAUAUAAGGAUACAUGGAACCUCAAUUGAGGCAUUCGAAGGAAAUCAAACUCAACACAAUAUGCGUAAUAAGCUUCCUAUUUUUACCAGUAUUUACAUCAGAUUUAAUGGUAAGAAUACACUAUAUAAGAGAUUAUACUUCUGAUCCUAAUGGUUGUAUGGUAGUGGUUUAAUUACUAUAUAAAACUUUUAAUCUUCUAGAGAUAAGAAAUCAAAGAGACUCUACAUCCAAUUAUUUCCAGGAUGCACUAUGAUAAA